rnacentral:rRNA from 1 species
CGGGUAGUAACACGUGAGCAACCUGCCCCUGGCUCUGGGAUAGCCUCCGGAAACGGGGAUUAAUACCGGACAUUCACUUCCCGCCGCAUGGCGGCUGGUGGAAAGUUUUUCGGCCAGGGAGGGGCUCGCGGUCUAUCAGCUAGUUGGCGAGGUAACGGCUCACCAAGGCAACGACGGGUAGCUGGUCUGAGAGGAUGGCCAGCCACAUUGGGACUGAGAUACGGCCCAG